rnacentral:rRNA from 1 species
CGCCGCGUGAAGGAAGAAGGCAUUCGUGUUGUAAACUUCUUUGACGAGGGAAGAUAGUGACAGUACCUCGAAAACAAGCCACGGCUAACUACGUGCCAGCAGCCGCGGUAAUACGUAGGUGGCAAGCGUUACCCGGAUUUACUGGGUGUAAAGGGCGUGUAGGCGGGCAAAUAAGUCUGACGUGAAAUCUAGGGGCUUAACCCCUAAACUGCGUUGGAAACUGUAUGUCUUGAGUAAUGGAGAGGCAGGCGGAAUUCCUAGUGUAGCGGUGAAAUGCGUAGAUAUUAGGAGGAACACCAGUGGCGAAGGCGGCCUGCUGGACAUAAACUGACGCUGAGGCGCGAAAGCGUGGGGAGCAAACAGGAUUAGAUACCCUGGUAGUCCACGCUGUAAACGAUGAAUACUAGGUGUGGGGAGACUGACCCUCUCCGUGCCGGAGUUAACACAAUAAGUAUUCCACCUGGGGAGUACGGUCGCAAGAUUAAAACUCAAAGGAAUUGACGGGGCCCCGCACAAGCAGUGGAUUAUGUGGUUUAAUUCGAAGCAACGCGAAGAACCUUACCAGGGCUUGACAUGGAGACGAAUAGUAUAGAGAUAUGCUAGCCUUCGGGCGUCUCACACAGGUGGUGCAUGGUUGUCGUCAGCUCGUGUCGUGAGAUGUUGGGUUAAGUCCCGCAACGAGCGCAACCC